rnacentral:rRNA from 1 species
GACGAACGCUGGCGGCGUGCUUAACACAUGCAAGUCGAAGAUAGUCGCGACCGGGUGAGUAAUACGUGGGUAACCUGCCCUCCUUUUUGGGAUAAGCCUUGGACACGGGGUCUAAUACCGAAUAACGGGGGAUGGGCUCCGGGCCUAUCAGCUUGUUGGUGGGGUGCUGGCCUACCAAGGCGGUGACGGGUAGCCGGCCUGAGAGGGUGACCGGCCACAAUGGGACUGUGGUACGGCCCAGAGUCCUCAGGGAGGCAGCAGGUGGGUAUAGUUCACAAUGGGCGAAAUCCUGAUGCAGCGACGCCGCGUGGGGGAUGAAGGCUUGGGGGUGUUAAACCUCUUUCGCUAUCGAAGGGGUAGGUGGAGAAGGAGCGCCGGCUAACUCGGUGCCAGCCGCCGCGGUAAUAC